ensembl:snRNA U1 U1 spliceosomal RNA
AUACUACCUGGCAGGGGAGAGACCACGAUAAUGAAGGUGGUUUUCCCAUGGCGAGGCUUAUCCAAUGCACUUCAAAUGUGCUGACCCUUGCAUUUUCUAUAAACUCAACUGCACAAUUUGUGGCAGUGGUGGUGGUGGUGGGGACUGCAUUUACAUUCUCCCCUG